GAAGGGUUUAGACUUUGGUGAAGAAGGUGUGGCUUAGAAAUAAAUAGGGUGUGGCUUUAGAGGAUGACAGAGAUGCUUGUGAAGAGCAUGGAGGCUAAGGGGUGUGAUGUAUAUGUUAAGGGGUGUGAUUUAUAUGUUAAGGGGGGUGAUUUAUAUGUUAAGGUGUGUGGUUUAUAUGUUAAGGGGUGUGAUUUAUAUGUUAAGGGGUGUGGUUUAUAUGUUAAGGGGUGUGAUUUAUAUGUUAAGGGGUGUGAUUUAUAUGUUAAGGGGUGUGAUUUAUAUGUUAAGGGGUGUGAUUUAUAUGUUAAGGGGUGUGGUUUAUAUGUUAAAGGGUGUGAUUUAUAUGUUAAGGGGUGUGAUUUAUAUGUUAGGGGGUGUGAUUUAUAUGUUAAAUGGUGUGAUUUAUAUGUUAAGGGGUGUGAUGUAUAUGUUAAGGGGUGUGAUGUAUAUAUUAAGGGGUGUGAUUUAUAUGUUAAGGUGUGUGGUUUAUAUGUUAAGGGGUGUGAUUUAUAUGUUAAGGAGGUGAUUUAUAUGUUAAGGGGUGUGAUGUAUAUGUUAAGGCGUGUAAACUCAGAUUUACUAUGAGAAAAAUUGGAUUACCUUUGCUGUUCUUCGUCAGAAUGCACUCCCAGGACUUCUACUUCAAUAACAAAUGUUGGUUUGGUUCAAAAUAAUCCAUAGUUAUGUUCAAAUAUCCUCUGUUUUGUUCGUGCGUUCAAGACACUAUCCGAAGGGUGACGCGCCCGACGCGUUUCGUGACCAAAUUUUUUAAAAUAUUCCAUUACCGUACUUCGAAGCAUGUCAACCGCUGUUUAAAAUAAAUUUUGAUGCGAUUUUUCUCAUAAAAAAGCGAUAAUAUUCCGACCGGGAAACCCUGUUUUCGUUCAUAGACAGAAAAUCUAAAAUGGACUCUUCUCGUGCACGCGCGCCCCAGUCUCAUUGUUCUCAGAUCGACAACUAUCCAA
rnacentral:lncRNA from 1 species